ensembl:lncRNA novel transcript, antisense to ARHGEF3
GGCUGGCGGUGGCACUGCCCACCUGCGCUGCGCCCAGUGCGCCCCCGUGCGCUGGGCAUACCCCAGACCAGGGAGCGCUCAGGGCCCGCCGGGGACGCCGAGACCUAGCAGGGUAACUCGGAGGUGGGAGUGGGGGUCCAGCUCGGGGACCAGGGCAAAGGAGGGACUAGACCGGAAGACGGUCUCACUCCGGGAGACCUAGCGGGGGUGUCCCGCCAAAGGGGUGUCUAGCCGGGGAGGGUCUAGCGCGGGAGCGGGUUUCCCGACUGCUUCCCGCACUCACCUCGACCCCCGCGCUGGUUCGGCCUCUCCAGGCUGGAAAACUCACCGCGGCGGCGGCGGCUGCGGCGGCGGCUCCCCUGGGCUGGGCGGGGCCGGGGGCGGGGAGGCCGGGCCGGCCACGUGGGCGGGAGGCGGGCCGGGGACCCCCGCGGGCGCCGGAGCCGGGCGACGCAGGACUUGGACGUGGCCACGCCCGGCCACCGCUCGACACCCCAGCUCCCCAUGCACGGCCUAGGUCUACAGGGAGGCUAGAAAGAGGAGAGCGGAGGCCCCAGGACAUCCCUCCCCCGCCGCCACCUAAAUCAGACUCAGGCGGAGAGAAUUGACCGAGUCGGAGGAGGGGUAAACAGCCCUGCCCCUCGCUCCCACUGUCCCGCCAGAGAACGCGCCGCGGAAACCCCGAGGGCGGGUCAAGGGCCAGGUACCCGAGUGGGAGUGGACUCUCGUGCCGGGGUGGUAGGGGCUACCCUAGCGGUCCAGGGCCAGAGCCUGCACGCGGCGCCCCCACCCCCACCGCUGGGCUGAUCUUGGGUGUGUCAGAUCUUGCCCAAGCCUCACUUUCCUCCACGGUGGAGGUGAGAAUGAGGACGAGCCUGGAGCUGCGUGAACCCCGGCGCCCAGCAAGCUCUCAGGAAUCGCCGGCCUGUAGGUGGACGCAGAGCCUGAAAGUGAGGGGCCUGGGUCGUGCAUACGGAAAUAAAUAUGGGACUCUAAAUAAAGCGAGUUUCUGCAGGCAUUCAUUCAUUCAACAGAUGAACGCCUACGGUCUUCACCACCUCUUAAAAUCAGAAAUAAAGAAUGCCCCAGACUGUAGUUACUGGGCUCAAGAAAGUGUAAACUCUGAUGCUAAAAAUAAAAAAUUCAUCGGUUCCCCCCA